GAGCGGGCCAUGGCAGUGGGUGGUGGGCGGGUGUAACGCUUCGCGGAGCCGGCGAGAAGUGACUGAGAGAGGCGGGGAUGGGGGCGCCGGAGCGAGGAGGUUGCGACCCCAAGGACUGCUGACCGUGCACCCGGAGUGGUAGUCAGCUGUGGCAGUGGAGCCCUGGGGCAGCAUAUCAUCUAAUCUGAAAGUCUUCCAUGAAAACGCCAGUUUUAAAAAAUAAAUAAUGCCAUCUGUUUUCCUAAAAGAAUGAAAUGGGGGCUAUCAUUUUGAGAGCCCCAUGGUUAUGAAUGUGCUUCAGUUUCAUAAUGCCUCCUGCUAUGGCAGACAUCCUUGACAUCUGGGCAGUGGAUUCACAGAUAGCAUCCGAUGGCUCCAU